rnacentral:rRNA from 1 species
UACGGGGGGGGCAAGCGUUGUUCGGAAUUACUGGGCGUAAAGGGCUCGUAGGCGGCCAACUAAGUCAGACGUGAAAUCCCUCGGCUUAACCGGGGAACUGCGUCUGAUACUGGAUGGCUUGAGUUUGGGAGAGGGAUGCGGAAUUCCAGGUGUAGCGGUGAAAUGCGUAGAUAUCUGGAGGAACACCGGCGGUGUAGACGGCUUGCUAGACCAUAACUGACGCUGAGGCACGAAAGCGUGGGUAGCAAACAGG